AUAAACCUUGCCUAAGUUUGUCGUACAGAAGCAUAGAAAAUCUAUAGACACCUAUGGUCAAAACUGAUACAUAUAUUGCCAUUUAUAGACCAAGUUAAUCCAAUGAGGAAGUAAGCUGAUAUAGUACAAAAAUAAACUGUAUUGCCAUUUAUGUCACAACACCUACAAAUCUUAGUAGAAUAACACUUGGUUCCACUUGAAAUUUGUAGCAGAAUACCUACAACUCAAUAGAAUAACACUUGGUUCCACUUGAAAUUUGUAACACAAUACCUACAACUCAAGAAAUAUAAAAUGAUGUGAUUAGCCUAUAUGGUAGAUUGCAGAAUUAAUGAUAAGAGUUGAUCAAUAGGACUUGCAGAAUUAAUGAUAAGAGUUGAUCAAUAGGACUUGUGUUAACUGUGAGAAAUUAAUUUUCAAGCACAUACAUAGGUUAAAAUCAAGUUUGUAACAAAUUAUUAAAAAUGGUAUAAUAGCAGUUGGCUAUGACCAAAUUUAAAAGAAAAAUCCUUAAAAAAGGAUGAAAU
rnacentral:lncRNA from 1 species